GCGGCAACAUUCCAUUGAAACAUUGGUUCCCGUACGAUCACCGAAGUCAAGCAAUAUCGAAUAUGGUCAAUACCUAGAUAGGUGACCGCUUAGGAAUACCAAGUGCUGUAAG